CGGAAGUAGAUCUUCGGCUAUCGGGCCGGCUUCCUCCAAGAUUGUUGGGAGGGCGGCCUGCUUCCGUCGAAGAGGUUACCAUUUCGCCAUGCGAACAUCCUGGAGCAAGUCGUUUUACGAUGUCGUCUGCAAUACUUUAAGACGUGUCCCGUCGCAUCACAGUCUCGAGGGCAGCAAGUGUGGAGUUUGCUUUCUUGCUGUAUUCUUCCAACUAUUGACUUUCCUUGCCAGUGAUCAGCUGUGGAAUGUCUUCGGUAUGAGCCCUGGAAGAUAGGACAGUUAAGUCAUCUAGUCCCAUAGAGAAGGAAAUUUGUUCCUCCAUCUGAACUAUGGAUCCUCGGACAUCCACGUCGACUGAAUACGAUUACGAGCAAUGCGCGAGCUACUGUCUCCGCGUCUUGCUUGGGUAUUGGCACGGCUUCAGGAAACCGUGUGAAAUGGUCAAAGAAGUCUGAUCGAUUUGGCAGGUCUGAGGUUGUGCUUAGGGGAAAUGCUUAAUGAUUGCACAAACUAAAAUGUACCUCCUACUAAAUAAAGACCCUAUCAAAUCAA